rnacentral:rRNA from 1 species
GAUGAACGCUGGCGGCGUGCCUAAUACAUGCAAGUCGAGCGAACAGACGAGGAGCUUGCUCCUCUGACGUUAGCGGCGGACGGGUGAGUCACACGUGGAUAACCUACCUAUAAUACUGGGAUAACUUCGGGAAACCGGAGCUAAUACCGGAUAAUAUCUUCAACCGCAUGGUUCAUUAGUGAUAGCCGGUUUUGCUGUCACUUAUAGAUGGAUCCGCGCCGCAUUAGCUAGUUGGUAAGGUAACGGCUUACCAAGGCAACGAUGCGUAGCCGACCUGAGAGGGUGAUCGGCCACACUGGAACUGAGACACGGACCAGAGUCCUACGGGAGGCAGCAGUAGGGAAUCUUCCGCAAUGGGCGAAAGCCUGACGGAGCAACGCCGCGUGAGUGAUGGAGGUCUUCGGAUCGUAAAACUGUGUUAUUAGGGAAGAACAAAUGUGUAAGUAACUAUGCACGUCUUGACGGUACCUAAUCAGAAAGCCACGGCUAACUACGUG